ensembl:lncRNA
CUGCAAGCGAAGAGACUAGAACACCCAAGGCCGCUUUCCUUUUAUGGAGUUGUUUUUCUGCUAAUGCAGCACUGUCCUCACAACCCCCUCCUGUAAGUUUUAGAGAAUAUAUACCCAUCCUCACAGCAAAUAUUUGGAAUCUCUUGAUGUGAGCUGCGUUGAGAGUUUGUCUCUGUCUCAAUAAAAGUUCACUGAUUCCCCAUCUGCAGCAGGAUCCGCUCCAGGUCAAACUGGAACGGGAGGGAGGACAUCGGCCGUGGUCUGAGUGAACGGAGUUUGGACAAAAGCUGUGUACACACAAAAAACAAGUGUCUUCAUACAGGUGUUUUUUCUUAACCUGGAAGCCUGAGUACGGCAGCAGAAGACAGGCCAAGCUUUGGCUAAAAUUCACGGCUGGACACCAGAGUUGUCCUCACCCCUCCCGGUAAAACAAAAAAGAGAGAAUGUAGUUUGAGGCGGGUUUUUCUUGCUGAACCGCUCUGGGUGCUGUGUCCCUGAAUCUCACCGGUGUUAACCUCUGGCGGAAGACAUGGAGAAAAGGAAAAGAUGUUCCUGGUAAAUCACUGAAACAAAUAAAACCACACACAACCAGAGAAAGAUAUGAGAAGGGUGAGGAACAGACACAUGUGCGUGUUAGAGACAUGCCUCGUUUGAGAAAAAGUUAAAGUAACCCAUAUACAGACGCACCCAUACAUGCAAUGAAGAAACAGCUUACAUACAUGUGCACGUACAUGCAAGGUUAAAGUAGCGACACUUAACAUACACCUGUUUUUAAAUGAUAUAGUUUAUACAUUACUGACAAUUAAACGCUUUGGGUUGCAGGACAACAACGUAACGUUAAAAGACAAAGACACUGGUCUGAGGAUUAAGUGAGGACACGACAAAUUUAGUGGUUAAAAGGGUCGACUUGGGACAUGUUUUUGUUGAUUGUUUAAGACAAAUGACUACUGAAUGAUAGGAAAUUCCUUUUUAGGUUUCUAAACAGGAUCUUAAGAAUUUUAACACGUACCUGUGUUGUCCUGUCAACUUGAGGGGUUAGGAGUUGAUUAUAUGGUGAAAAAAAAAAAAAAAAAAAAAAAAAAAAACAAAAACAAAAAAGGGGGGAGACGAGAUCUCGUUGUUUCUCCCCUCUCGGGAUAACACAGCCAACACAGCACAGCCAACACAACAUCAUUUUCCUGUUCGCCUGUUUUGUUUUGUUUUUGUUUUUUCUGAGAGCCGAAGCUGACCUGGACUCCUACCCUCCCCUCUACCAUCGUUGCCCUCUCCGCGACCAUCUUUGACCCUUUGACCCCUGAAGGCCACAGCAGCUGGACUCACAACAACAACUUGAGGAUGUCAACAGUGCUGCAAAAGAGUGAUCUCAUGCAGCAGAGACGGAGAGCACUAAACCUAAAGCCCGUUUCACUACACGGGGGAAAUUCCCAGGCUGCGUCAGCUGACAGAGCUGUGACGAGACGCGCAUUAAGCCCGGAGGAAAAGGGACGGUGAGCAGAAGGAUGCUGACCUCUGAGAAGAGCCGAACAGCAGAGCUGCAGAAGGCCGUGGAGCAAAGUAAGGAAGAUGCAGGCAGCUGCAACAACGGAUGAAAACAGACCCAAAGAGGAGGGGAGGACCCUAGGCCAUGCGUCAGGCCGCUGGUUUACCUAAACUACAGAACAGAAAGAUCUGCACAUCGGAAAUUACAAGCAUUACACGUCGGCGAGAAAAUUGUUGUAAGUGAGUUUCUCCGCAUUGAAAUGGGUUCUGGAGGAAACACUUGUGGGGACAAUUAGAAACGAGAGUCCCUGUUUAAAAAAGGAUUCGGCGAGGUAAUCCAAACUCAAGUUCUUGUUUCUUUUUGAGAUGACGUCAUUUUGCUGAGUGUGGAAACUAGAUGCGACGACAGGUUUCACUAUCAGCAAAGAACGGAUGAAUGGAUGAAAGACUGGGAAUAAAAACAAACGGACUGACUGGACAGCUGUUACUGCUUUCAUCGGGAACCGAGACUGCUUGCAGCCGACCCCUGGGCAGGGUGGUGCCUGGACUCUUUUCUCCUCAUCUGCAAUGACAGAUAAAGACAAAUGAAAAGACCCGAGGAGUUUUUCGAGCCAGGCUUCGACACGUCUCUGUGUUCCUUUGAUUGUUACUUAUUUUUGUGUGUUGACCCAUUUAAGAUGGGUCAAAAGGGGGAUUUGAAGAAAAUAUAAUCUGAUCAAACAUUAUUCAGCUUUAAAUAUUGUUCAGCUUUAAACAUUAUUCAGCUUUAAAUAUUGUUCAGCUUUAAACAUUAUUCAGCUUUAAAUAUUGUUCAGCUUUAAACAUUAUUCAGCUUUAAAUAUUGUUCAGCUUUAAAGUUACUGUGCAACUGUGUAAUAAAAAUGUGCUCACGACUUUGGCCUUGAGAGCGAUAAGAAGCGAUCGCCUCAUCCUGCAGGUGAAAGAUAUCUGCAAGCGAAGAGACUAGAACACCCAAGGCCGCUUUCCUUUUAUGGAGUUGUUUUUCUGCUAAUGCAGCACUGUCCUCACAACCCCCUCCUGUAAGUUUUAGAGAAUAUAUACCCAUCCUCACAGCAAAUAUUUGGAAUCUCUUGAUGUGAGCUGCGUUGAGAGUUUGUCUCUGUCUCAAUAAAAGUUCACUGAUUCCCCAUCUGCAGCAGGUGUCCGGUUGUCUUCAUUCUCCGCCAGCCUGGUUAAGUCAAUUCCUCCUUAACAUCUAAAAGAACCUAUUUAAUGAAGGAAGACGGGUUCACUUUGUGUUUAAUAUUAUUCUAUUGCUGUUGUUGUUUUUUUUGUAUCCUUCAGCAUGUA